CCUGCGUCUCCACCUCCUGCAGCAGGAAACGCUCGGGCCCGGCGCGCUGCAGCACGUCCUGGAGCCUGGCCUCCGACAGCUCCACGUGGCCGCGCAGGUCCCGCAGGAACAUGCGGCCGCCGUGGGCACACAGCACCUUGAAACAGGGUCUCCCCAUGUUGCCCAGGCUGGUCUUGAACUCCUCAAGCGAUCCACCUGCCUCCGCCUCUCAGAGCACUGGAAUUACAGGCGUGAGCCACCCCAAGGGGCCUUGCUAAGCUCUUUUGGAAGGUGGCUAGUCUGAAUUGAGAUGUGAUAUAAGUGUGAAAUACACUAGAUUUUGAGGGCUGAGAAUGAAAAAAGAAUGUAAAAUAUCUCAUUAACUUUAUAUAAAUCACAGGUCAAACUGAUAAUAUUUUGGAUAUAUUUGGUUAAAUAAAAUGUUACGACAACUUCAUGUGUUGCUUCUAGACUAAUGCAGCUAUGAGGACAUUUUAAAUUACAAAUGCAGAGUACCUUAUUUUUGUGGAGCAGCGCCAGUCUAGACCUGCCUUAAGCAGCCAUGUGUUUUGUCCAGCACCUUGCUUGUUUAAUGAACAUUGAUUGAGCCAACUACUAUCCCAGUAACAGUAAAAAGAUGAAUCAGAGAAUCCAGCCAGCCUAGCUGCUAUUUUACAAGGUGCUUGUGAGGAUUAAAUGCAUUAAUGUCAUAUAAUGUAAAGAAGCCGGAGAGGAAGACAAUUGGCCAGAUGCCAGAAGACUUUCUCUACCAUGCUGUGAAAUUUGGACUUAUAUUCUGAGAACUUUGGGAAAUCACUAAAAGAUUUUCAUCUGGCAAGUGUGGUUGUCUCCUGAAUGACAUACUCAAGGUGACCCACUCAAGGUGUGUCAUUCAGCUGUGAGCUUUAAUGUCUUCUCUUCCGCAAAACCUCUGCUGACCUCUCAAAUCUAAAGUAGCUCCCCAGUCUGCAUGGAACUUACUGCUGAUGCUUUUCUUCUGUAUUGUUUAUUUACAUAUAUAGCUGUAGAGUUCAGGCUCAUGAAAGCAGGAGCCUUGUUUUGUUCAUUGCUGCAUCCUCACCACCUAAAAUAGUGCCUGGCCAUGUUGUAGGACAGGCGUUUUAGAAAGACACCUGGCAGCAAUGAGAAGAAUGGAUUUCUAGAAAAGCAAGACAAGGUGGGGAAAAACAGAAAUAAACAGGAUUUGGGGAACUACAACCCCGAUGUUGUUUAUGUUGAGUUUGCAGUGGUCACCCCAAGGAAAGAUGCUCAACAGGCAGGUGUAUUCUGUGUACAGGGCUAGACCUUGAGGAACCUGAGAAGGGAAGGGGUGUAGAUUUGCAUGGCAUCAGAACAUUAAGAACAGAAGCUGUUAGAGUUGAUAAGAUCACUUGGCAAAAAUGAAGAAUGUGAAAAGGCAGAGGUGGGGGGAGAGAACCUUGGUGAAUAUCCACAUUAAAUAAGCAGGUGGAAGAAGAGAAAAAUAGGCAGUAGCCUAUGUCCCCUUGGCACUUAACAACUGUUCCUGAACUCUCUGCCUAAGCUCUUUGUUGGAAAUGGACGCUCAGUGCCACAAAGAAAGAUUAGCACUGAGACAAAGGAUCCUUCAGCAACGCCGUUUUUACUUCCUGGACUGCAGAAAGGGUCUCAGUAGCCGUCUUGCCACGAGAGUACAAAGAACAAAGGGAAUACACACAAAUUUAUGCCUUAUUCCUUAUGCAUUUGGGGUUGUCCUUACUGCUAUAUCUGAUCUCCAUUGGCUGGAGCCAGACCUCACAAUCUAAACUAAAACACGAUUGGCUAACAACUUAAAGCUUUUCUAAACAGGUAAAAGCAAUAGAGAGCUGGGACAUGGCCUGCGAGCACAUCCAGCACAGAUAUCUUGGUUAAGGUACAAGGACAUAGAAUGUCUACAUGCCUGGAAGCACGGCAUGUCUAACAGCUACAUAGGACAGGGCUUAACAAAGAGUUAUUAGCACAGUUAUGAUUUAACAAGAAAGGAAACUUUAACAAGGAACUUUUCUACUUCCCACACUUUUUUUCCAACAGAAGGAGCAAGCACCAGCAGGAAAGGUAGGCUGGAAUUACCGAGGAGCCAAUGCCUCCAGGAAGAGCCCUCAACCAGGAAUGUUGGGGAAUUGGUGGUCUGAGGAUGCACUCUGACCCCUAAAGUUGGUAUGAAGAUUAUUUUAAACUACAGACAUUGAAGAUUCAAUAGAGGCAAAAAGAAGGGUUCUUGAAGCUACCUUUAUUUCAGUAUAAGCAGAAGCUUCUGGGAGUGAGGCUGCCAUUCACCCCCUCUCCAGAAGUUUAUGGGCAUGAAAUAGAAGACCACAUGCACCUGCAUAAACAAACAUGAUCACAAACUUCCUUUUCUCCUAUUUGUUCCCCUAGAAACCCCUUUGUUCUUCCCAUAGGAGCCUUUUGGCCCCCUCUCUCAUCUAUUAAUUUAGGCAUAUAAAUCAUCAUCACUUCUUUUGUGCACUCCCAUUUACAUAUAUAUUUUUCUCUUGUCAGUUAAAUUUGCAGCCCCUCAGAACUGAACUUGAGAGGGUGCAGGGCCUUUCGGCUGGAACCGCCAUCUUCCAGUCAUUUGUCAAAAUGACGAACACAAAGGGAAAGAGGAGAGGCACUCGAUACAUAUUCUCUGGGCCUUUUAGAAAACAUGGAGUUGUUCCUUUGGCCACAUAUAUGCGAAUCUAUAAGAAAGGUGAUAUUGUAGACAUCAAGGGAAUGGGUACUGUUCACAAAGGAAUGCCCCACAGGUGUUAUCAUGGAAAAACUGGAAGAGUCUACAAUGUUACCCAGCAUGCUGUUGGCAUUGUUGUAAACAAACAAGUUAAGGGCAAGGUUCUUGCCAAGAGAAUUAAUGUGCGUAUUGAGCACAUCAAGCACUCUACAGCUUCCUGAAACGUGUGAAGGAAAAUGAUCAGAAAAAGAAGGAAGUCAAAGAGAAAGUUACCUGGGUUCAACCGAAGCGCCAGCCUGCUCCACCCAGAGAAGCGCACUGUGUGAGAGCCAAUGGGAAGGAGCCUGAGCUGCCAGAAUCUCUUCCCUAUGAAUUCAUGGCAUAAUAGGUAUUAAAAAAAAUAAAAGAUCUCUGACUAAAAAAAAAAGAAGAGGAUGCAGGAAAGUUGUUCCUCCCCAGUAAUGGAUCAAACAACCCAACUCAUUAUUCCUCAUGUGGAACCACUUGGAGGUGUACAUUCCAUGGUCUCCGGGGUUUCCUCAGUGGACCUGAGCCCCCGUUGUCCACAGCCACACCUCCUCAUCAGCACUCCCUAUACAGUCUUCCUUCCUCUCCCUGUCCCACCUCCCCAUUCCCCUGCCAGUGUUUCUUAGGAUCACCUCCCAAGUAAAGUGCUUGCAUUCGAUCCUUGUCUGAUUGCUCCUGAGGGAACAUAGCCUAACACAGAGGAAAAUAAGAGUCAUUCAUGGACACAUAGAGGAGUUUCAAGGAGGUGAUCAGCAUGGAUCUAGAACAUCUAAAGAUAAGUUUACCAUCUACCUGUUCUGUGAAACUUCAAGCUGGUCUGUACCUUCCAGCCCUGGCCUUCGUUCUUCCUUCUCCUGGAGCGCCCUUCUUCCCCCAGGCAGAGGCUGCUCUAUAAAUGGUAUCCCUCUGUUACCCAGGCUGCAGUGCAGUGGCACGAUCUCGGCUCACUGCAACCUCCACCUCCUGCGUUCAAGGUAUUCUCCGACUUCAGCCUCCUGAAUAGCUGGAAUUAUAGGCAUACAUCACCACAGCCCAGCUAAUUUUUAUAUUUUCAGUAGAGACAGGGGUUUCACUAUAUUGAUCAGGCUGGUCUCAAACUCCUGACCUCAGGUGAUCCACCUACCUCAGUCUUUCAAAGUGCUGGGAUUACAGAGAUGAGCUACUGCGCCCGGCUGGGAAAGCAAAAUUUCACCUCCAUCCAUUUACAGUGUUUUGGGGGGACUUGAGCAUUAAAUUGAUAUAAGACCCCAAUAGGAAUGACAAGCAAUGGAGACUCAGAAGGAUAGCGCAUGUUGGGAUGGGAGUACAUUACUUAAUGGGUGCAGUGUAUAUUAUUCAGGUGAUGGAUACCCUAGAAGCCCUGACUUUACUACUAGGUAAUCUAUGCCUGUGACAAAAUUACAUUUGUACUCCACAAAUUUAUAUACAAAAAGACAGGCCAACAGAAUAGCAUCACAUUUCUUUAAUACAAGUUUUAUGUGGCACAGAAGCCUUCCUAAGAAAUUGAGACUAAAGCUGUGGUUAGAGAUGAACCCUUGUACUGAAUUAGACAAAGAGUCAUAAAUUAUAAAAAUGGGAUGAGGCAAAGAGGCUUGGGCUAGGGAAGUUAACUGAGUGGAGAAGCGUCCAGGAGGAUAAAGACUUGUCUAAUGGGAUUUGUUUACACAGGUUUCCUGUCCUUGAUGAUAAGAAGGCUACUUUCAUUCUGGUAUAGGGAGGACAUCUUUCUUUUUUUUUGAGACAGUGAGUCUCACUCUGUCACCCAAGCUGGAGUGUAGUGGUGCAAUCUUAGCUCACUGCAACCUCCAUCUCCUGGGUUCAAGCAAUUCUCCUGCCUCAGCCUCCCGAGUAGCUGGGAUUGCAGCCACCCACCACCAUGCCAGGCUAAUUUUUGUAUUUUUAGUAGAGAUGGGGUUUCGCCAUGUUGGCCAGGCUGGUCUCGAACUCCUGACCUCAAGUGAUCCGCCCACCUCAACCUCCCAAAGUGCUGGGAUUACAGGCAUGAGCCACUGUACCUGGCCCCUUCCAGUACUUUUAAUAUUCAAACUAAUAAAUGGGAAUUUCAUCUCCAGCUUUUAAGUAACAGAAAGUCAGAACAAUUGUCUUUCACCUGCUGUUUUUCAAGUGCUUUUAACUCAAAAUAGUCAAUAUGCCAGAGUGGCAAAUUUUUAACUCCUUCAGUAGCCAAGCUAUAUAUACAUGGCUACAGAGCACUGAAAAUGUGACUACAGUGACCACGGAACUGGUUUCUUAAUUUUUUACGUGUUUAGUUAAAGUUUAAAAUGAAAUUGCCAUAUAUGGUAAGUGGUUGUCACACUGGACAGCACAGAGCCAUUAACUCAGUGUCUAAGCAUCGGCGCAGCCUGGCCCGGCUCCACUCUGGCCUUCUCUAGCCCUGCCCCCACACUGCAUGUGUCAUGUUCAUGAAGCCUGAUAGGUGGUGCAGUCCUCAAGGUAACAUUUCCCCUUGGUUUAGUCCACAUCAGAGAUGAAUCUCAGGCACUGUUUGCUGUAUAGGCUGGUUCAUUCAAGCCUCGCUAUUGGAAGACUAAAAGGACAGUGGGAGCAUACCCAUGCCAUGGGUAUGUUAAGGUCAACAGGUCACGUGACUGACUGCUGGUCGAGAAGCAACUCUCAAAGUCCCUCUCUUGUACCUGUGUGCUGUCUGGGUCAAUUACCACGUGUUUCUAUUAUAAAAGUAUCUUAAGCUAUUCUUGUAAGGAUUCAUCUUUUCUGUGGUAUCUGAAAGUCAAAUCUGUGCUGAGCUGGCCCCAGUUCUUUGGCAAUCCUAAACUACAGUUGUCCCAUACUCUUAAGUGACAGGUAGCGACAGCCUUGCGAGUUGUCUCUUUAGACCUUUUAGCUACUAUUAAUUUAACAGCCAUAAUGUGUCCUAGAGUAUAGUACUGGACUCCAGGUCUGAAUAAAUGAAUGAAUCAUACAGCCGUCAAUUACUUAUUUCCCACAAGACUUGAAUUUAUGUCUCAGUUGCAGCAAACAGGUCUUAGCUUUUUUUUUU